UACGUAGGGGGCUAGCGUUGUCCGGAAUCAUUGGGCGUAAAGAGCGUGUAGGCGGCCAGGUAGGUCUGCUGUGAAAACUCGAGGCUCAACCUCGAGACGUCGGCGGAAACCAUCUGGCUAGAGUCCGGAAGAGGAGAGUGGAAUUCCUGGUGUAGCGGUGAAAUGCGCAGAUAUCAGGAAGAACACCCGUGGCGAAGGCGGCUCUCUGGGACGGUACUGACGCUGAGACGGCGAAAGCGUGGGGAGCGAACAGG
rnacentral:rRNA from 1 species